GUAAUCAGAUGACUCUCUUCAGCUUGUUAACUAAAUUCAUUUCUCAGUUGGUAAGCAUCAUGUCACGGACACCCAAAUAACUAGACCGUGCGGUCUUAGCAUUCAAUAAUUUCUUUCCCUCACGAGAAAAUGUUAAGUUAGCCUUUCAAUACUUACAAAUAAUUUAACCAAUGAGGCUAAAUUAUAACAACUUUAAGUAGAUGAUUUGAAAUAGGAAAUAUAAGGAAAACAACUAAGUUUUUGAGAACUCUCUUUAUAUAUAAAUGAAAGAAAAACUUUACAAUCUCUCUCAAGUAUUCAUCUCAUCUCACUCCAUAUGAUUUACAAAUAAGACAUCUCUAUUUAUAGGCAAAACCUUGCAAGUCGUCUUGGAAUCAAUGGCCAAAAUUAAUUUUCAUCCAAAGGUCCACAUUGGUUGCUAGUUGCAUUAAUCUCAUUUGAUCAAGUAGUAAUUCUCUGCAUUUUCCAAUGUAAGUUGCAUGUUACUUUCUAACCUCAUGCUAGUUGGCAUCAAGAUGUAUAUCUCUACAAUUCAAAGCCUACCGCAAAGUUCAUAAAGGCUUGGUUAGAAGGUUUGAAGGUUCAUUUCCCAUCAUGGCUAAAGUUGGAAGAGCUUCCUACUGGCUAGAUCUCCCAAGCACUUUGAAGAUCCACCCAGAAUUUCAUGCAAGCAUGUUCAAGCCAUAUAGGAAGCCAUACAGGCUGGACUUGGAAGAUCCGGGAAGAAACAAAUUACAAAGGGCGCCUCCCAUUGUAACAAAAUCUUUUGAGAAAGACGUUGAAUUCAUUUUGGACGAUCGAGAGGUGAGACAGAGGGGCGUUUUCCCUUUCUCUAAGUUAAAAACUGCUAUUUUGGGAAGGAAAAAUACAAUGGAUUGCGGUCGGAUGUUUUGGGGACACAAGUGGGCAACUUGGCCAACUUGUACAACUUGUGCCACUUGUCUAUUUGUGCCACUUGCAAGAUAAUGCCAAGGAGGAAAUAAAGUUCAAUUUGGCUACUAUGAAAGUGACUUGUUCACUUACAUGUGAAUUGUAGAGAUAUGCCACUUGAUGCCAACAAGCAUAAGGUUGGUAAGUAACAUGCAACUUGCAUUGGAAAGUGUAGAGAAUUACCACUUGAUCAAAGGAGAUUAACGCAACUUGUAACAUAUGAUGACCAUUGGAUCAAAAUUAGUCUUGGCCAUUGAUUCCAAGACAAUUUGUAAGUGCAAGCCAUUUUCGGCAUUAUCCAAUUGAAUACAAGGCUGCGGUGAUUGAGUUGCUUGGAAAAGCUUCUGUAAUUUAUUCUAAAAGAUUACGGCAACUUGAAGGUGAGAAGAUGGGCUUUGAGGGCACACACGAUCAGAUCUCUGGACCCUUUUGAAAUCUAAAAAAAGCUGUAGAGUGAUCAAGUUAGAGUUUCUUGAGGAUUAUCCUUGACUUGAAUGACUUCUUAUCUGUUCCAAAUUCCAUAGAAUAUCACGAGGGUAGAGAUUUUGGAUCUGUGCAGGAUGAACGUAAAGAGCCUUACAUACGUCUAUCCAGCCUACCAAGCAUAAGUGCUCAUGGGGUUCUUGGUCAAUUCCUCUUCGACGUUUGUGUACCCAAGAAUGUGGAAGAUUGGGAUCUAAAAUCAUCACCGUCCUUGAGAAAGGUACUGUCUGCCUCUACACGAAGGAAUUCGUCGUUGAAUCCUAUUAAAUGCAUUUGUCGUUCAAGAUUAUAAAUGACACAAGGACUUCCCUUUCUCAUGAAGACUACUCUGGAUUAACCAGAAAGUAGACACUGUGAUUUGUACAUCAUCUGGGGCAGCAACAUUAUCUGGAAUCUUAUUGCCUUUCUACUGACACCAAAUGUAUAGGUAUCUUAUCGGCCAAUUGUAACUUAUGAUUGUAGAUAGCUGAAGUCAAAUAAGAAUCCGACCUAUUCCUUCUUUUUCUUCUUAUGAUUGUAGAUAGCUGAAGUCAAAUAAGAAUCCGACCUAUUCCUUCUUUUUCUUACUUGAGCCUCGCACUAGAUGUAGAACUAAAAGCAUCUCGCAGAAAUUCUCUGCGAUAUCUGCACGCAAUAGUUAAGUAACUAUGAUACAAACACAAAUUUCCAAGCGAAGGUUGUUUAUUGAGAACCAUAAGAUAUAGUUAAUCUGUCAAUCGCAUUUCUCAUUGUAUA